ensembl:lncRNA
CCCAACUUAGCUCUCACUGCUCUCUAACUAGACCAUGGGAAGGCAAAGAAAUUCAGUCCGGCGCCUCUCCGGAGCAGGAUAGCGAGGGGAGCGGGCAGAUGCGGCCGCCAGGAGCUCAGCAUCCCCGGAGCUCUGCCUGCCCCCGCAGACCCCUGCACAACCCCUCUCCCCCUUCCCUGGGCUGCCAGGGCGGACGGGAGCUGGCAGGAAAAGCUGCCACAGUGCGCUAGAUGGGAUUCCUCUCGGGGAAGAGGAGGGACGGGAAAAGGAGAAACCCGCGCGCACUUUCCCUUCCAAUGAUCCCAAUCUCGCCGCGCACUGGAAAAGCCUCUUCUCCCCCCAGACCCCGCCAGGCAAGACCGGGUACGGUAAUUUGGGCUCUCCGCAGGGCACUGGGGAAGCACUCUGCGGGCGGCCCCGCUCAGCCCCCGCGCUUCCCUGCGCUGCCCCGGAGGCUGCGGGAGCCGCGGUGCCCCCGCCUCCGCUCCGCGCUCCGGAGGAUGGAUGUUCCGGGGAUGGAUGCUCCGGGGAUGGAUGCGCCGGGGGAUGCGGCGGAGCGGGCGUUUGGCGCAUCGCUGCCCGGAGGGGAUGGGAUGGGACAGGGUGGGCUGGGCUGGGGGUCACUCACCUCGCUGCAAGGUGACCCGCGGCGCGGUGCUCCCGCAGGGGCGGCUCAGCGCCCCGGCGCUCCGCCCGGCAGCAUCCCCGCGGCGGGGGCGGCGGCGGGCACCGGGCCCGGGGGAUGCACAGCGCCCGCCGAGAAGGGGCUGCGCCGCCUGCACCGCCUCGGCGGCACUGUGCGCUCGGCAGGAGGAGGAGAAAAAGGAGGAGGGACGGAGGGAGAGGGAGAGAGAGGCAGGCGGAGGGAGAGAGGCAGGAGGAGAAGGAGCCCUGCGCGGCAGCGCGGCCAACUUUCCUUCUGCAGCGCAGCAGGAACAGCCUCCCGUCCCUCGGUGUGUAACCCCCGCCCCGGGGUAGAUUUCUUCAGAGCUUUGUAUUUCCUACAAAGGGAGAAUAAAAAUCACCUCAAUCACCACAGGCUUGAUAUGGAGAGGCUUCAGAGGAGCCUCAGGUCCAGCUGAGAUGCUGCCCAUGGACAUCAGAGCCCCCCUCAGGACCGGUUACGUAAGACUGAAUGUGUUUGUUUGCUGCCUGCAAGCCCCUCGUGUGCUGGUAACACCUCAAGAGCCUGCAUUCAGAACUGGAGCUGCAGCCCUGCUUGGCUCACACUGCCGGCUCUGCCCUGCACCACCAGGGCUCGUGGGGGGACAGCAGUGUCACUGUCCCCAGCAGAGACACCGUGGUGAGCAGUGUGUGAGAGUCUGUCCGGAUUUUCCCUUAUCUGCCUCACGAUUGUCAUUGGGCGACCACUGAAGAGAAGACCCCCCCGUCUAGAAUCUCUGGCUCUGAAGGAGAAAGUCACAUGCCAAAGGCCCUGAGACCUGAAAGAACAGUGUUAAGCUAUUGUUUUUACAGGUGUGUUUGCUGUGUGCUAAGGGGGCACCGUGCCCUUUUUGCAACAAUAGCCUUGGAAGCUGUCCCACCUCUCGGCCUGGCUGGAGUCCUGAGUUUCAAGUGGUCUCCCACAGAAGACCCUCACCUGUUUCACACCCACCGUGACAGACAGACUGAGAUGUAAGGAGCCUCUCCAUCAAGGACUGAGACAUGAAACUCCCAUGUGAAAAGGCCCCUCUGCUCCUUCCAAGGACUGGGACUGAAACCCCCAGCCCGGGGCAGGUGUGUGGGGGAGGCAAGCUGACCAAAGAGAGAUGUUUGCCUGCAGGUUGUGACCGCUGGACCAAGAAGACAAUGGCUCUCAUUUACUGCGGAGAAUAUGACCCCCCCCCCAUAAUUUUCAAUAGAGUUAUCAUAAUAAAAACCUCUGAGUUAGCUAGAGAUUUUGAGAU